rnacentral:lncRNA from 1 species
CAAUUGUUAAUUAUUAAAUUUUUAAUUUGAUGUUAAUUUGUUAAAAGUUAUUUAAGAUUUAGGAUUUCAUUAAAUAUUAAUUGAGAUUUAUUUAGGAUCUAAAUUUGAUUAAUAUUUAUGUAAGAUUUAAUUAAAGUUUAAAAUUUUGUCUAAAUUUGAUUAUGAUUUAACUAAGAUUUCAUUAUAAUUUCAAUAAAUUUUGAUUGAUGAUUUGAUUAAGAUUCAUAAGAAUUUCAAUUAAGAUUUUAUUAAGCUUUGACUUAAGAUUUGAUAUGAGAUUUGGUUAAGAUUGGUUUAAGAUUUUAUUAAGAUUUGUUAAAGGUUAUAUUAUGAUUUGAUUAAGAUUCAAUUAGGAUAUCUAUUUUUGA